UAACAAGGUUUCCGUAGGUGAACCUGCGGAAGGAUCAUUAAUAAUGCUCUCUGGCUUCGGUCAGUUGAGUUCAAUGAGUGCCUUCUCUUCGGAGUUGGCCAUCCAUACACACCGUGAACUGUGGCUUCGGCCAUCACAAACUGUUAGUAAUGAAUGUAAUAUCAUAACAAAAACAAAACUUUUAACAACGGAUCUCUUGGCUCUCGCAUCGAUGAAGAACGCAGC
rnacentral:misc_RNA from 1 species